GACGGGACCGCACAAGCGGUGGAUGAUGUGGUUAAUUCGAUGCAACGCGAAAACCUUACCACCUUGACAUGGCAGGAAUCCUGAAGAGAUUUGGGAGUGCUCGAAAGAGAACCUGCACACAGGUGCUGCAUGGCUGUCGUCAGCUCGUGUCGUGAGAUGUUGGGUUAAGUCCCGCAACGAGCGCAACCCUUGCCAUUAGUUGCUACGAAAGGGCACUCUAAUGGGACUGCCGGUGACAAACCGGAGGAAGGUGGGGAUGACGUCAAGUCCUCAUGGCCCUUAUGGGUAGGGCUUCACACGUCAUACAAUGGUCGGUACAGAGGGUUGCCAACCCGCGAGGGGGAGCUAAUCCCACAAAGCCGAUCGUAGUCCGGAUCGCAGUCUGCAACUCGACUGCGUGAAGUCGGAAUCGCUAGUAAUCGUGGAUCAGCAUGUCACGGUGAAUACGUUCCCGGGUCUU
rnacentral:rRNA from 1 species